rnacentral:rRNA from 1 species
AUUGAACGCUGGCGGCGUGCUUAACACAUGCAAGUCGAACGGAAUUUAGGCUUCGGUUUAAAUUUAGUGGCGCACGGGUGAGUAACGCGUGGAUGAUCUACCCUUGAGUUUGGGAUAACAGCGGGAAACUGUUGCUAAUACCGGAUAACAUCACAUUUCGUAUUUGUGAUCAAAGGCGGCGAGAGCUGUCGCUUGGGGAUGAGUCCGCGUCUCAUUAGCUAGGCGGUGGGGUAAAGGCUUACCGAGGCAACGAUGAGUAGCCGGUCUGAGAGGAUGAUCGGCCACACUGGGACUGGAACACGGCCCAGACUCCUACGGGAGGCAGCAGUGGGGAAUAUUGCGCAAUGGGCGAAAGCCUGACGCAGCGACGCCGCGUGAGGGAUGAAGGUCGUCGGAUCGUAAACCUCUGUCAGAAGGAAAGAAAUGUUAUGGGAGUAACUGCCUGUAAUUUGACGGUACCUUCAGAGGAAGCACCGGCUAACUCCGUGCCAGCCGCCGCAUAACAC